rnacentral:sRNA from 1 species
AUCAAAAAGCAUAAUCGAGAAAUUGAGAAAUCGGGAAAUCGAGAAAUUGGGAAAUCGAGAAAUUCAUUUUGCGUUUUCGCUUUCAUGUUUUUGCUUUCUCGAUUUCCAGAUUUCCCUAUUUCUCAAUUUCUCGAUUUCCCGAUUUUGCGUUUUCAAA